rnacentral:lncRNA from 1 species
AAUAUGUGACAGACAUAUGUGGUCUGUGAAGCCUAAAAUAUUUUCUAUUUGGCUUUUUUGUAGAAAAAAAUUUUUGACUCCUGCUCUAGACCUGGAUGACUGCAUAAUUAUAGAUGUUUUCCCUUCAUGCCUACUCAACAAAUCUGCCUGGAAAUAAGAGAAAUGAGGCAGAAAAAGUCUAAUGAUCACUUAAAGGUUCAAAUACUGAAUUUUCAUCAAGUUCAAAAAAUUUGGAUGAAGGUUUGGCUAAAAUAUUUGAUGAAAUUCUACUGCAAGUGUUUUCCAAAGUUCCAUUGGAUGAAAUAAGAACAGCAGGAAAGUCAAUUACAAAGAGAGAAGUGAAAGAAAGUUAUCCUCAAAAAAAGAAUUUGAAAGAUACUGAAUUUGUAUCAAGUUCAAAUAAACGAGAAGAACAUUUGUCUAAACUAUUUGAUGAAAUUCUACAGCAAGUGUUUCACAAGGUUCCGUAUGAGACUCCAGUUGAUGAAGCCAGAACAGCAGGCAAAUCAAUCACAAAGAGAGACAUGAAUUCAGAAAAUUUCAUCAAAGGAGCCAGUGUUGCUGGGUAUUCUACUGCACCAGGGUUUCUCCUUGGCAGCGUGGACAGAAUUUCUACUGAUGGUCACAAUUCAGAGAAGAGGGAUAAAGAAUCUUCUCUCUCCAGCGGGCAUAUAAAUGAGCCGUUUUCUGCUGUAGAUAAAGCGACACUUGAAGAAGCAGUUAGGACAGGUAAUAAGCUAGAUACCGUAAGCUAA